ensembl:lncRNA
UCGAUUUCUUGCACAGACCCCUUCAGGGAGCUGUUUAGAGAGCUAAAAAUGCUGUCUCCCACAUAAAAAUAAACUUAAACUGGCUGGAAAUCUAUCAUUGGUCAUAAAUUACAGUUUGUUUGCUUUUUUCGCAACUUGAGAAACUGCCAGUCUCUUCUGGUGUGAGAGAAUUGGCCGUCUGCAAGGACGUUGCCCAGGGGACACCUGGCUGUUUUUUGAUGUUUUACCAUCCUUGUGGGAAACUUCUCUCAUAUCCCUGCAUGGAUCUGGAGCUGACAGAGGGAGCUCAUUCACAUGCUCUCUGGAUUUGAACCAGCAACCUUUAGGUCAGCAACCCAACCUUCAAGUCACCAGUCCUGCCAGCACAAGGGUUUAACCCAUUGUGCCACCGGGGGUUCCUAAAUUAUGGUUUAGUUGGGUUUUUUUUUUUUAACUUAAACAAUGUGAGUUGGCCCUGCAGUCUAUUUAAAAGAUGAAUUUUCUCUCCUGUACUUUUCUAGGGCAGGGAAUACAGCUGUUUGGGCCUGGGAAAAGGGAAUCAGGAAGAUCAAGAGCCACAAAAAGUGCCAGGGUUUGUUCUCACAAGUCUCUCUGCAUGUGGCAGCCAGUUUUCAGGGCUGACUUAUAUGAAUGGAGCCUGUCAUGAAUAUGCCGUGACAGCAUGUGUUUGGUUUGAUGCAAAUUAACUUUUGGGUGUGCUUUAUGAGCACUUGAAGCCCCUAAGCAAUAAACACAAUAAACACCAUCUUGCUGAAUGUACUCAUGCCAUUGAUGAAACUGCAACACAACACAUGGCUGCACAACUGGAAAACAUUGUCUGACUGAAAACUGGCAGCCGCCUUUCAAAAGAAAUAGACCCCCCCCCCCCCCAAAAUUAAAAUUUCUGAAAAUUGACCAUAAGUCCCAGUACUGUGUGACCGAAUGUAUCACUUUUAGGUCCCAUUAGACAAGCAACAUUGAGGAGCUGUAGCAACAGCUAUAUGAUGGAAUCCUAGAAUCACAGAAAAACUGUCUGCUAUAUAAUGGUAUAAUUCUUUUUCAUUUAGAAAAAGAAGUGAGUAAUGAGAGGGGAAAUGAUGUUUAUACAAUUACAGUUGCCCCUCCACAUUUGUGAAUUUGAUUAUUUACUGAUUUGAUUUAAAAAUUCUCUCUGAGGUCCACCUACAUAGGUCUGAAAACCCAGAAAAAAGUGGGAAAAAGGCAGGGAGUGGCUACAAAAUGCAUACCCAUAAUGUGUACUUGACCAUGGAAAACACAUAGUAAAAAGGUUCGAAUAAAUCCAAUAUCGGGCGAAAAAUGUGUUGCUUUGGAACAUGAUGUAUACACACAAACAAGGAGAGACUGCAGCAGUGUUUGCUUGAGCCUUCCAGAGAGGGAAGGAUGCUGCCCCCACCUCUCCUUUUAGCCAGCUGAGUCAUUUGAGUAGAACUGACUUUUUAUUUAUCUUGAAUUCAGUUGAAAGCCACUUCCACAAUUUAGAGGCUUCCAGGUAAGGACACACAUCUCCACAUCCCACCCCAGGUUUGAGCAACAGUGGAUCCUACAGUUCUACCCAUUCCUCCUUAGCUGGUUGAGAAAGCACUGUGUGCACCAGCCCAAACUACAUGAAGCCACAAAACCAGCAGGUGUCAACCUGCCAAAAAGAACUCCAGAUGUCUCUGGCUGCUGUGUCAACAAUAUCCUACAGUUGACUGCACCUCCUCUCCAGCACCCACCCUGGGUCACUAGCUGAAUACACAAAUUAUCAUUUUGAGAAACUACUUUCUCACCACUGAACACCUCAUUCCAAGUUAUGUUAAAAGGUUAACAGAUUUCACAGGACCCCUGAAGAAAACACAGUAUACCCUAAACCUCUUUAUUAUUUAUUAACAGUUAAAUGCAUAAGGGCCUGAACCUAACCCCAGUUGCUCCCUCUAUUUUCCUUCUCCCAAAUAGGAGCUAAAACAGUUAUUGGUAUAAAUGAAGUCACCUUUUUGUGUGUUGAUUAGUGUUUCAAGGAAUUCAGACAAGUAGAAAAUUUAGGGGGUUAAAUGUCCUCUAUCUUAUUUGUUGAAUCCAAUUGUAAUCAGACCCUGUGUGUGUAUCUGGCUAUCUUCAAAUAGUUUCUAAGCUGUGUUAGUUGUUGUGUGUCUUCAAAUUAUUUCUCAGUUACUGCAACCAAAAGGCAAACCUAUCACAAGGUGUUCUUGGCAUGAUUUAUUCAGAGUGGGUUGCCACUGCUUUUCUCUGAGGCUGACAGAGAGUAACCUGCCCAAGGCUACCCAGUAGGUUUCCCUAGCCAAAGGGGGAUUCAGACUUUAGUUUCCAGAGUAGUAGUUCAACACUCAAACCACUAUACAACACUGGUUUUCUUCUGCCCCCUAGCUAUGUGCUGUGCAUUUAAUACAUGUCUGCCAACAUUUCACAGAUAGGUAAAUGUAAAGGUUUCCCCCUGACAUUAAGUCUUGUCUUGUCUGACUCUGGGGGUUGGGCCUCAUCUCCGUUGUCCGUAGACACCUCCUAAGUCAUGUGGCCGGCAUUACUGCGUGGAGUGCCAUUACCUUCCCACUGGAAUGGUACCUAUUGAUCUACUCACAUUUGCAUAUUUUUGAACUGCUAGCUUUGCAGAAGCUGGGGCUGACAGUGGGAGCUCACCCCACUCCCCAGAUUUGAACCACUGACAUUUCGAUCAGCAAAUUCAGCAGCUCAGUGGUUUAAUCUGCUGUGCCACCAGGGGCUUCCAUUUCACAGAUAAAACCCAGCAAACAUGGAACCAAGCAACAUUGGAUUGUACUUGAGGUGCAAACUGAACAGACAAGUUAGGAAAGGCUGAAGCUGUUUGCUUUUUCCUAGCUGACUGGGAAGGGUUUGUCUCUCCGUUAUGAUUAAUGAAUAGGCUACAAACACCUUUAGCAAUAUGAAAUCAAUUUGCAUCAACUGAAGUAAGAUGAAGACAAAGGGGAAAGGUGGGAAGAGAUGAGAAAAACCAAAACAUUGAAAAAGCAGCUGAAAAUGUGGGACAACAGAGUAUUAAUACUGUCCUGACACAUUAGGAGUUGAAGAGUAUAUAACACAUGUGUCGUUUAGCCCUGAAAUGUUUAUAAAUGAUUGUGUGUAAUGCACACUUUUCUAAAGUUCUUUAAGGCAUGGUUUGAGCAUUGCACUUUGUUCAUCUUGGAUAAUUAAGAUUUGCUGUCCAAAACAGUAUAAUUUGAAGUUAGUUCUGCUUAAAUCUAUUUUAACCACAGUCCUUAACCAAAGGGAUCUCUAUUUCCACACUGGUAUGAUUAGGAUUACUGUCUGUGUGCUUAAAUUGACCAUUUAUUCAUGCUCUUCCCUUUCUCAUCUCACUAUUUCAUCAGCACCUCAAUUACUUUCUGUACUCUCACUAUGGAAUAUGUCUUGGCAUGGAAUCAUGCCAGAAUGAAAAGAGCCCUGUAAUGGAAGUAGAGAGUGCCUUUCUAAAGUAUUGCACAUAAAGUAGGAAACACUACAGCAACAGGAUUAAGGGGCUAUUUUGGGGUGAGCAUUCUUUGCUGCCUUGGCCAGAAGGCAGAAAUCUAAGCAGGAGCAAUUGCAUAAACAUGUUAAAUUAACAAACAGAAGGAACGUAUUACGGAAGAGAUUAAUUCCAGGUACCCUUUCCUAGAAUGAGUUGCCAUUUUAAUGAAAGCAGAAAAGGGAAGCAACAUUGGAAACAGCAGGAGGGAGACCAUGCUGGGAGGAGGAAAGAGAGAGCUUUGAGACAAGUAUAGAAGAUUAUGUAGUACAUGUUACUGGAUAGAUUCAAGCUGUUUCACUUGAGCUCCUAAACACAUGAGAACAUGAGCUGAAAGACAAUGGUGAUACCUCUGGUACCUCGGAAGGCUUUGUGUAUGUGUUUGCCUGUGUGCCAAUGCCUUCAAGUCACCUGUUGACUUAGGACAAACUCAUAUAUUCCAUAGGACUGUAUCCACAGUGUAAAAUUAUAGCCAUUUGGUGCCACAUUAAAUGCCAUGGCUCAACACACCACAAAUCCCAGGAUACCAUGGGCUUGUGCCAUGCUUAUUGAAGUGGUGCUGAAUCAUUCCAAUUUAGCAGUGUGGAUGUUCUCUAAGGCAAGGAUUUUUCAAGAGGUGGUUUGCCUACAACACCUGGUAUUCCUUGUAGGUCUUCUAUCCAAGAACUAACCAGAGCUUAUCCGGUUUAGCUUCCAAGAUCAUAUGGAAUCUGGUGCCUUUACUACAGCCCAAAGUCACUGUCAAAUGCUAAUUGGAAAAUUUCCUCAAAGCCAUUCAGUUUUCCUGGAGAUUACUAGUGACAAGGAGGAAAAAACUAGUUAGUAUUUUCCAUGAAAGAUUGUGGAAUGCACACUUUAGUAAAACAGACUCCCCUGCUGUCAUUCCUUUCACCCUCUUAGAAAGCACAAAUGAAAACAGAACACAAACAACUCCAACUCUUAAAACAGGGAGGAGAAAGUAACUAGUAGCUGGAAGAACCCAGCAGAAAGAGAAAAAUACAGUUUCAGGCUUCUAAGCAAGAAAUAAUGGUUAGGCAGUAUUGAAUUUUUAAUUUCUUCCCUCCCUGGUACAGUCUGGAGAAACAUGACAGUUCUACUCCUGUUUCAAAGAUCACCAGGUUCCUGUCCACAUUUUCAAAGGCAAGAAGUUGUUUAAGAACGAACUGUCAGAGGCCUGAGGAACAGUGGUACCAGGGAUGGAUCCAUUUCAAGCAGGAGUUGUAUUUGGAAGAGGCUAAACUUAUCUCUAAGAACAGAGAGUCUUAUUGAACUGUGCUUUCCAGACACCAUGUUGAGGUUUUUGGCUUCUGAAGCUUUCCCUUUUGGAAGCUGCACCUUCACAGUGGAUUUGGCACAUGCAAAUGCCUAAAAGAUCUCCGACUCUUUCUGCAAGUAAGGCUACACUGUAGAAUUAGUGAAGUUUGACACCACUUUCACUGCCAUGGCUCAAUACUAUGGAAUCAUGAGAGUUUUACAAGGUUUUUAGUCUUCUAAAAACCAUAUCUGCUCAAUAUGAACUGUAGUGUACAACACAUUUUAUGACCCAGCCCUGGUUUAGAACCAUAUGUAGAAAUUGAUGGAAAUCUAUUGGGAAUAAACAUAUUUCUUUCAAUACACCCAUUUUUUUCUUUAUGUUUUUGAACUGUGUGCAUGUUCUCUCCCGACCCCAUAGCCCCCCAUGAUUUUUAAAAUUUUUAUUUUCAUUAAUAACAUUUGCCAUUCAGUACUCUGAAAUAUAGCCUUCAGCACUCUGAUGUUGCUUGGCCACAAACUUCCCAAACAUUUUGGAAGAUAUUUCCCUUCCCACAUCUGGCUUUACUAGAUAUAGCAGAUGUUUGGUUUGUGGUUUCUGGAUCAUGGAAAAAUCACAGGUAGUCCUGCAUCUAUUGUGAGCAUUUGUUUAGUAUAUGUAAAAGAAUCUCUCCCACAUCCGGUGUGCAUCCUUAUAGCAUCUUGGUGGAAAAAUAUUAGGUAGCUAGAAGGCUUUUGUUGCUUUAGAAUCUAAUACUACGUUGGAAGUAAAUCCCACCGUUGCUUUCUUUUAGAUAAGAACACAA